UACGGAGGGUGCAAGCGUUAUCCGGAUUCACUGGGUUUAAAGGGUGCGUAGGCGGACAGGUAAGUCAGUGGUGAAAUCUCUGGGCUUAACCCAGAAACUGCCGUUGAUACUAUUUGUCUUGAAUAUCCUGGAGGUAGGCGGAAUAUGUCAUGUAGCGGUGAAAUGCUUAGAUAUGACAUAGAACACCGAUAGCGAAGGCAGCUUACUACAGGAUGAUUGACGCUGAGGCACGAAAGCGUGGGUAGCAAACAGG
rnacentral:rRNA from 1 species